rnacentral:rRNA from 1 species
GGACUACUGGGGUAUCUAAUCCUGUUUGCUCCCCACGCUGUCGCGCCUCAGCGUCAGCAACGGCCCAGCGGAACGCCUUCGCCACCGGUAUUCUUCCCGAUCUCUACGCAUUCCACCGCUACACCGGGAAUUCCAUCCGCCUCUACCGUGCUCGAGCCCACCAGUCUGACCGGCAGCCCCGGAGUUGAGCCCCGGGAUUUCACCAGCCACUUAAUGAGCCGCCUACGCGCCCUUUACGCCCAGUGAUUCCGGACAACGCUCGCACCCUCCGUAUUACCGCGGCUGCUGGCAC